AGUGAACGCUGGCGGUAGGCCUAACACAUGCAAGCCGAACGGCAGCACAGUAAGAGCUUGCUCUUACGGGUGGCGAGUGGCGGACGGGUGCGGAAUACAUCGGAAUCUACUUUUUCGUGGGGGAUAACGUAGGGAAACUUACGCUAAUACCGCAUACGACCUACGGGUGAAAGCAGGGGAUCUUCGGACCUUGCGCGAUUGAAUGAGCCGAUGUCGGAUUAGCUAGUUGGCGGGGUAAAGGCCCACCAAGGCGACGAUCCGUAGCUGGUCUGAGAGGAUGAUCAGCCACACUGGAACUGAGACACGGUCCAGACUCCUACGGGAGGCAGCAGUGGGGAAUAUUGGACAAUGGGCGCAAGCCUGAUCCAGCCAUACCGCGUGGGUGAAGAAGGCCUUCGGGUUGUAAAGCCCUUUUGUUGGGAAAGAAAAGCAGCAGGUUAAUACCCCGCUGUUCUGGCGGUACCCAAAGAAUAAGCUCCGGCUAACUUCGUG
rnacentral:rRNA from 1 species